CUGGCCCCUGAACGGGGGCACGUGCACGCUCUGUUUACGCAUCCACUCACACCUGUGCACCCUCGGUAGUUCUAUGGUUCGGGAGACCCCGUCUUCCUUCCGUGGCUCUACGUCUUUACACACACACGACGUCUCAUGGAAUGUUUUUCGCGUUUAACGCAAUACAAUACAACUUUCAGCAACGGAUCUCUUGGCUCUCGCAUCGAUGAAGAACGCAGCGAAAUGCGAUAAGUAAUGUGAAUUGCAGAAUUCAGUGAAUCAUCGAAUCUUUGAACGCACCUUGCGCCCCUUGGUUAUUCCUUGGGGCAUGCCUGUUUGAGUAUCAUGAACACCUCAACUCUCACGGUCUUCCGUGACGAGCUUGGACUUUGGAGGUUUGCUGGCCCUGCGGCCGGCUCCUCUCAAACAAAUCAGCUUGCCAGUGUUUGGCGGCAUCUCACGGGUGUGAUAACUAUCUACGCUCGCGGUU
rnacentral:rRNA from 1 species